AAACCGUGGUGAGGACAUUCUCUAAUGUAGCUUUUAUAACGAUCCCAAGCUUCAUGAAAAGAUUCGCCUCCUUUUUGUUUUGUUGGAACCUAAAAAUCUUGUCUCUUAAGAAGUUU
rnacentral:snoRNA from 1 species